UACGUAGGGUGCGAGCGUUGUCCGGAAUUAUUGGGCGUAAAGAGCUCGUAGGCGGUUUGUCGCGUCGGAUGUGAAAGCCCGGGGCUUAACUCCGGGUCUGCAUUCGAUACGGGCAGGCUAGAGUUCGGUAGGGGAGAUCGGAAUUCCUGGUGUAGCGGUGAAAUGCGCAGAUAUCAGGAGGAACACCGGUGGCGAAGGCGGCAUCCUGGACCGACAUUGACGCUGAACGGCGAAAGCUAGGGGAGCAAACGGG
rnacentral:rRNA from 1 species